UCAAAUUAAUUAAUUAGUUAAUUAUACUCGUCACAAAUAUAUUUAGAAUUUAAUGGAUCACAUGCAUAAGGCUAUUUCCAACGCUACGCCAAAUUUCAUUUUGGCGUUGGAGAUGGCCCUCCAAUACAGCGCUAAAAUCAAAUGGGAUUUUGGCGCUGCGCUACAGUGUCACGCCAAAUAUGGCGUAGCAGCGCCAUUUUUUUUUUCUUUUUUUUUAAAAUUUAUAAUAUAAUUCAAAAUUUAUAUCUUUUUCUAUUUUUUUAAAUUUAUAAUAUAAUUUAAAACUUAUAUAUAUUUUCAAUUAAGUUUAAUUUUUUUUCACUCUCAUAAUUUAUUAUAUUUUUAAUUUAUUUUAUAUUUUUAUAAUUAUUAAAAUUUAAUUUAAAUUAAUAUAUUCACAAUUAUAAAUAAUAUUUAUAAUAAAUUAAUUUAUUAAUGUAUGUUUAUAGUUAAUGUUUAAGUAAUGUUUUUUUAUAAUUAUUAUUUAACUAAUAUAUUUUUAUAAUUAAUAUAUGGAAAAUUACUUUUUAGUCCCUGAGGUUUAACGUAAUUAACACUUCUGUCCCUCUAUUUUGGCGACCCAACACUUAAGUCCCUCACUUUCUCUUCCAUCCAAAUUCGUAGUCCUUCCGUCCAAAAUGGCCGUUUGGUCAAAGAGUCUAAGGUGAGAGGUGAAAUUUUUUUAUCAAAAAUACCCUUAAUGAACUUAAUAAAACCCCUCUGAACGUAAAAUCCCUCUAUCCUUCUUCUCCCUUAUGUCUUCUCUCUUCUUUUCGGCCAUUGUUGAUUCUCCAUUUUUCUCUCUUUUCCAUCUUUAUUUUCACUCAUAUCUUUCUACUCUCUCGUAUAUUUCUUUUCUCUCAUAUCUUCUCUAUUUCCUUUCAGCCAUUGUUGAUUUUCCUUUUUUUUUUCCUUUCAGCCAUUGUUGAUUUUCCUUUUUUUUUUUUUCUCAUUUUCAUCUUUCUUCUCCAAAGCCUCUAUGACCCACAGAGCUCAAUUUUAGUCCCCAACUUGGCCAUCAAAACCUUCCAAAAUCAUCAGAAUUCACAAACCCUACAAAAACCUCCAUUUCCUCUAUGUACCAAUCAACCAUUCUCUGUCUACUCCACUAGUUUCUUCCUUUUCUUUCCCUCUUAUUCCCAAAUUCCCUCAUAAUCUACUCCCCUUUCACCCCGUACAAGAUGCUACUGAGGA
rnacentral:lncRNA from 1 species